ensembl:lncRNA novel transcript
GUCGGCGCGCAUGAACCACUCAUACUUGUCCAGAAAUCAGCAUGAGAAGAUGAUCAAAAUUCAUAUAUUGAAACAUGAAAAGAUACCUGUAGCCAUAUUCCCAUCUGACUUCUAACUCAAACUGCAUUGACGAAUGUGAAGACCUCCGUGGACAGCAAGGACUGACAGUCUAAAUGAGCAAUGAUGCUGCUCUUAUCACAAAACAGGACCGACUCAAGUAGGGUAUAAGAGAUCAAACUGAUUUCCCUUCUUUCCUUGGAAGGAUGUUAAAAAUUUGAGCUCCAGGAAGACAUAGCUGACCUGGGAAUGCUGUUUUGGACGAAGAGAGGAAUUUGUACUUCCUCCCUGGGGUAGGUGAAGAAGGGAAAGGAAGAAAAUAUAAAUAUGUCCCUUGAAAAAUGUGGCAUUUCUGAGAGAUGUGAAAACAGAUUUGCCAUGUUUGGGAUGCAGUUUAAGAGUAGAAACCUCCGAGAUACCAUAUACCAUGAGGCUUGGGGAAAAAACAGAAAUGAUACAUUUUGACGAAAGGAGGGCCCAGCUCUACCUGAGAUUCCCUGUGGCUGGGGAGUGGCAAUGAAGAGGUCUGUACUCUUCCCAAGGCUCCAUGGUAAGCUGUGGAAAGUAACUUGGAGCAUGAGCUGAUGAUCAUGGCCAGAGGCUACCUGGCCAAAAACAGGUCAUAGAUCAAGGAGAUGCACAUUACUGUGAUGUAUGUGGACCUUUAUAAGUGAGAUGCUGGCUGGUAUCUCCUGCACACUGUACUGGUGAUGACUGUGUCACCUGUGGGAGCCAGCACCAUCCAGCACUGUGCCACAAAAUAAUGAAAGUAGACAGAAUCUCACCCUCCCUGCCACGAAUGAAUGGACUUCUCCUCUCUAGACUUGCAUAUCUUCCAGAGGAAGAAGUAGGAAGCUGAAUUAAAAUUUGAAUUAAAUUUUGACUGAAUUAGUAAUUCUGAUAAAAGACUGAUUGGACUAAAUUUAGCCCCAAUACUAUAUUUCUGGAGACAGGACAAGAGUUCUAUUUCUUCGCACUCAAGUUGGUGUCUAUAGAAUUCAAACCUGUUACAUAAAUUUAGAAUCAGAAGGAGUGGCUUUGUGUCCUAGAAACCAUCUUUAGGGACAAUAUAUGGCUGGAGUUCUGCCACUGAUUCACACGAAAUUCCUACUGAUGCACAAGAAGUCAUUAUUGCAUGAUCCCUGAUGGCUGAGGCUGUCUCAUGAUCAUAUUUCUAAGAUUCCAUUUAAAAUGAGUACGAAUUCCAGCUCAACUUUAAAGUAUAAUUUAUCUGUUAAAUAAAAAUCUGUUUGUAUACAUCUUGAGGGUUAAAUUGCUCAUGAAACUUGUAUUCCUGAGGAGUGUGUAAAGGCCGAGGAAAGAGCCAAGACAAAGAGAUGAUUUGUAUCUGUACAUCUGCCUGUUUGUUCCACAGGGAAGUGCCACCAAGUAGGCCUUACGUUCAUGGGCGCCUGGACGGGGCUUUUAAAAGUUCACAACAAAAUCCAGAACACUUGUGGGUUUCCCCAACCUGAACCUUAGCUUUGAAAGAGUUUGCUGAGUUGCUGACACUCUCAAGAUCCUGUUUCAAACUUAAGAGAGAAAGAAUCACCCAGGGAGCUUGUUAAACAUGACGAUUCUGAUGCAGCUGCCCUGAGAGUCUGCAUUUUUUAAUAAGCAUGAACCACAACUUGAGUAAAGACACAAUAGAAGAUUUGGUUAACGAAGUCCAUGUGCCCAGCUUGAACUUCCUUGAUCUGAAGACUUCUCAGCAUGGGACCCCAAUUACUGUCACUUUUCUGUGCUGAUGCACACUCAGUGAUCCCGGCAGGCUCUCCUGCUCCCUACCCUAGGGCUUAAUCAGCACAAUUAAUCACUUGUAUUCCUUUGGAAGUUCUUCACUCAUUUGUCAAGAUACCCGUAUAUUGACACAACUGAAAUACCGCCCUCAAAAUAGGCAAGCUGUGGUUUGGCAUCCUGGUACACACCUGCCCUCUGGUGGUGAGAGAGUAACUCCAAGCUAUAGGGAAAUAAAAGAUCCUUUCCCUUCUGCUCUUUAUCAUGGUGAACAAGAUGAAACUCGGUGUCUGGCCAGUGUACAGUAAAGAAAGGUGCAUUUUAAAGGCAUAGUCUACAAAGAUGAGAAAAUCCUGGGAGCAAAUUCUGUUGCCAAACUAUGACUAGGUGCCUUACAUGGCAGCACAUUGGAGAGUGAUUGAGGGAUUCAUCCCACCAAACCUCUGAUGCAGACGACACAGACCUGCAGGUUUCCCGGAGGUGAGGUUCUUCAGCGUGGGUUUGAUGUCAGCUCCUCUGAAGCCAAACUCCUUCCUGACACAGAGGCGUUGGAGCUUCCUGGGACUGACAUCUAAUUUAGGGAUAAUCUAAGGCAAAGUUAGAGAAAUCAGAUCCUGUACUCUGGAACAUUGUCAUAAGGGAAAGACAUUCUAUCCAUAACACUUACUAAGAAAGAGUAAUUAACUCAUACAUAUUCUUAAUCAUAGAGUCUAUCACUUAAUAUUUUACCUUAUAAAGAAGCCCCACAAGCCUAAAUUACAAAAUGGUACAAGCAUAUGGCAUUCAGAUUUACUGGGAUUCUGAGCAUAACUGUGUUUGCCCUUGUUAAAGCAGGGUCUUUUUGUACUCACUUGGAGACUGGGGCUGAGUGUACGUAUAGCUAUGGGUCGAAGGAGAGGAGACGCACUUCCGUUGUCUUCAUCAACAGCUGGACCAUAUCAAGCCCCCACUACAGCCAUGAGAAAAUAAAAACUUUAGCAGAAAGAAUAGUCAGAAUAGGUUUAGUAGAUCUAAGCUCUCAUUGCAAUUUGAUUCUGACAAGUCUUUUGAUGUCCCUGAGCCUCAAUCUCUUCUUGUAAAAUACGGCUUUUACACUUAUCUCUCAAGAUUAUAGUUGAGAUGAAAUGAGCUUGUAGAAGGGGUAGGGUUUUAAAAAUUAUGCAGUGUAGAAGCUACAACUAUUUCUGUUGAAUUCUUAAUAAGGCCAGGAUGGAAAUGUUCAGGUGGGUGGGCAGCAGGCAUAGGGCCCUAUGGGACACUGCUGUCCAUGGGCAUCCACUGGACUUGUUAAAGGAAAAAUUGUUUACGACACAUGUUAAAGGCAGUGAAGAAGACUUUAUUCAAGGGAGGCUUCUGCAGUGGGGUUUUAUAGUAGAGGAGAGAGAUCAGUCUCCACUCUGAAUAUGAUAAGGAAAAGUGGAGACUUAUAGCUAAGGGGAACAGUCAGGCUUUGAUGGAUGGAAUAUUACUAAGAGUAGGGUAAUAUUUUGCUAAACUGACCUAACAGGAUUUUUACUGAAGGAAGGCCAGGGUGAUAAGAUAUCGUAUAGAGGGUAGUCAGAUUUACUGUAAACUGACUUAGCAAGAUUUUUGCCAAAAGUGGAAUAAGCCAACCAUGGACACAACCCAAGAUCCAGAGCCUAGUCAGAGAGACACUCGGGGGAGCCUAACUAGCAUUAGAUCAAGGACAGAGUCUUUGUCAAGAAUCUUCCUGAAUAACUUGGAAAACAGCUGUAAAAGCUGUACAUUUAUAUGUUCAUGAUAAGCAAAAUAAAACUUUUUUCCUGGG